rnacentral:rRNA from 1 species
UACGAAGGGGGCUAGCGUUGCUCGGAAUCACUGGGCGUAAAGCGCACGUAGGCGGACUCUUAAGUCGGUGGUGAAAUCCUGGAGCUCAACUCCAGAACUGCCUUCGAUACUGGGAGUCUCGAGUCCGGGAGAGGUGAGUGGAACUGCGAGUGUAGAGGUGAAAUUCGUAGAUAUUCGCGAAGAACACCAGUGGCGAAGGCGGAC